rnacentral:piRNA from 1 species
UUCAGUAUGUGUGGCCCCUUCUGAUUGGU